GAUUUUUCACAAUGUUAGUUGGAAAAGUUGUGGAUAUUUAUUUCGAUAUUUCGCCACGAAAAGUUCGUGUUUUUGAAGGUAAGUUUUUAUAAGUGUUUUAAAUAUGAGUCAAAUUAACGAUUUUUGCUUCAUUUGGUGUUUUAACAACGUUUAGUUAUAUGUUAAUCGCAAUUUGUAUUGACCUGUUUUCUGGGUCAAUGCACAAGUGUCAAAAGUGGCUUUCAAAACCGCUGGGGACAAUUGGGUUUAUAAAUGAGUAAAUUAAAUAAAAGACACACCAUCGUAUUCAGGAAGAGUUGUUCUUUCUAUGAGAAGUUUAAAAAAUGAAUUGUCCCCAUCAAACUGACGAGUAAUCGCGGUUUGAAAAUGGUGCAUUUUCGGUAUACUAUGUCGCCCAUCGCGGGAAUAGUCGACUGCAUGGGAAUUAUGGCGCGAGGAAAAUUACUGUACGAGUCAUUAUUUUUGUUUUAUUUCGAAGCAUGGGCAUAUAUGUCGAUCGUUCUUGAGUUUAACUGCCGCAUUUAAGUUAAAUACACUGUAUUUUACCAUCAUUUUUAUAGAAUUCGAAUAUAUUUUGUGAAAAUGGAAUCUGACAAUGAUGGCAAUGUUGUUUAUAUUGUUGAUCCUAAGUAUGGGAAAAGUUCAACUUAUGAAUUUAAAGCUGAUUUAGAACUGUUAUUGAACAAACUGUUCCUACAUCUUGCUUUGGCAAAUGGUAUAACAUCUAAUCCAGCCAAGUUGUGCUCAUGAUCCAUUCAACUGAUUCAAGCAAUGAAACUAUUGAACUAGAAUAAUAAGAGCAACCUGUUAUAUAAAUUUGCCCAUACCAGCCUCAGAUACAUAUUUUAGUAUGCACACAUGUAAAUAUUGGUGUAUUGGUGACAUGAAAAUGUUGCAACAAAUCUUAAGUGA